rnacentral:misc_RNA from 1 species
CAUAAAACCUCACCGUCCCCCCGGUUUCGGGGUGCGUCGGUGGUCAUGGGCCUCUCGCCCCUGGCCCGCAAGGGCGUCGGGGGGCGUGGCCUGAAAGCCAUUGGUCGCUGGCCCCGCCAUGGGUUCCUCGGUGUGCGAGUCUCAUUGACGUCUCGCCGGGGACGAAGGAUGGGGGAGCCGAGACCCUAAACUCUUGAAA